rnacentral:rRNA from 1 species
GAUGUGUUGAGCUAACCGAUACUAAUGAACCGUGAGGCUUAACCUUACAACGCCGAAG